rnacentral:rRNA from 1 species
UACACAUGCAGUCGAACGGUGAAGCCAAGCUUGCUUGGUGGAUCAGUGGCGAACGGGUGAGUAACACGUGAGCAACCUGCCUUGGACUCUGGGAUAAGCGCUGGAAACGGCGUCUAAUACUGGAUAUGAGCUCUCAUCGCAUGGUGGGGGUUGGAAAGAUUUUUCGGUCUGGGAUGGGCUCGCGGCCUAUCAGCUUGUUGGUGAGGUAAUGGCUCACCAAGGCGUCGACGGGUAGCCGGCCUGAGAGGGUGACCGGCCACACUGGGACUGAGACACGGCCCAGACUCCUACGGGAGGCAGCAGUGGGGAAUAUUGCACAAUGGGCGGAAGCCUGAUGCAGCAACGCCGCGUGAGGGAUGACGGCCUUCGGGUUGUAAACCUCUUUUAGCAGGGAAGAAGCGAGAGUGACGGUACCUGCAGAAAAAGCGCCGGCUAACUACGUGCCAGCAGCCGCGGUAAUACGUAGGGCGCAAGCGUUAUCCGGAAUUAUUGGGCGUAAAGAGCUCGUAGGCGGUUUGUCGCGUCUGCUGUGAAAUCCCGAGGCUCAACCUCGGGCCUGCAGUGGGUACGGGCAGACUAGAGUGCGGUAGGGGAGAUUGGAAUUCCUGGUGUAGCGGUGGAAUGCGCAGAUAUCAGGAGGAACACCGAUGGCGAAGGCAGAUCUCUGGGCCGUAACUGACGCUGAGGAGCGAAAGGGUGGGGAGCAAACAGGCUUAGAUACCCUGGUAGUCCACCCCGUAAACGUUGGGAACUAGUUGUGGGGACCAUUCCACGGUUUCCGUGACGCAGCUAACGCAUUAAGUUCCCCGCCUGGGGAGUACGGCCGCAAGGCUAAAACUCAAAGGAAUUGACGGGGACCCGCACAAGCGGCGGAGCAUGCGGAUUAAUUCGAUGCAACGCGAAGAACCUUACCAAGGCUUGACAUACACCAGAACACCGUAGAAAUACGG